UACGGGGGGUGCAAGCGUUGUUCGGAAUUAUUGGGCGUAAAGAGCUCGUAGGCGGUCUGUCGCGUCGGCUGUGAAAUCCCGAGGCUCAACCUCGGGUCUGCAGUCGAUACGGGCAAACUAGAGUAUUGCAGGGGAGACUGGAAUUCCUGGUGUAGCGGUGAAAUGCGCAGAUAUCAGGAGGAACACCGGUGGCGAAGGCGGGUCUCUGGGCAAUAACUGACGCUGAGGAGCGAAAGCGUGGGGAGCGAACAGG
rnacentral:rRNA from 1 species